GGUUAAGCGACUAAGCGUACACGGUGGAUGCCCUGGCAGUCAGAGGCGAUGAAGGACGUGCUAAUCUGCGAUAAGCGUCGGUGAGGUGAUAUGAACCGUUAUAACCGGCGAUUUCCGAAUGGGGAAACCCAGUGUGUUUCGACACACUAUCAUUAACUGAAUCCAUAGGUUAAUGAGGCGAACCGGGGGAACUGAAACAUCUAAGUACCCCGAGGAAAAGAAAUCAACCGAGAUUCCCCCAGUAGCGGCGAGCGAACGGGGAGGAGCCCAGAGCCUGAAUCAGUGUGUGUGUUAGUGGAAGCGUCUGGAAAGGCGCGCGAUACAGGGUGACAGCCCCGUACACAAAAAUGCACAUAUUGUGAGCUCGAUGAGUAGGGCGGGACACGUGGUAUCCUGUCUGAAUAUGGGGGGACCAUCCUCCAAGGCUAAAUACUCCUGACUGACCGAUAGUGAACCAGUACCGUGAGGGAAAGGCGAAAAGAACCCCGGCGAGGGGAGUGAAAAAGAACCUGAAACCGUGUACGUACAAGCAGUGGGAGCCUCUUUAUGGGGUGACUGCGUACCUUUUGUAUAAUGGGUCAGCGACUUAUAUUCUGUAGCAAGGUUAACCGAAUAGGGGAGCCGAAGGGAAACCGAGUCUUAACUGGGCGUUAAGUUGCAGGGUAUAGACCCGAAACCCGGUGAUCUAGCCAUGGGCAGGUUGAAGGUUGGGUAACACUAACUGGAGGACCGAACCGACUAAUGUUGAAAAAUUAGCGGAUGACUUGUGGCUGGGGGUGAAAGGCCAAUCAAACCGGGAGAUAGCUGGUUCUCCCCGAAAGCUAUUUAGGUAGCGCCUCGUGAAUUCAUCUCCGGGGGUAGAGCACUGUUUCGGCAAGGGGGUCAUCCCGACUUACCAACCCGAUGCAAACUGCGAAUACCGGAGAAUGUUAUCACGGGAGACACACGGCGGGUGCUAACGUCCGUCGUGAAGAGGGAAACAACCCAGACCGCCAGCUAAGGUCCCAAAGUCAUGGUUAAGUGGGAAACGAUGUGGGAAGGCCCAGACAGCCAGGAUGUUGGCUUAGAAGCAGCCAUCAUUUAAAGAAAGCGUAAUAGCUCACUGGUCGAGUCGGCCUGCGCGGAAGAUGUAACGGGGCUAAACCAUGCACCGAAGCUGCGGCAGCGACACUAUGUGUUGUUGGGUAGGGGAGCGUUCUGUAAGCCUGUGAAGGUGGCCUGUGAGGGUUGCUGGAGGUAUCAGAAGUGCGAAUGCUGACAUAAGUAACGAUAAAGCGGGUGAAAAGCCCGCUCGCCGGAAGACCAAGGGUUCCUGUCCAACGUUAAUCGGGGCAGGGUGAGUCGACCCCUAAGGCGAGGCCGAAAGGCGUAGUCGAUGGGAAACAGGUUAAUAUUCCUGUACUUGGUGUUACUGCGAAGGGGGGACGGAGAAGGCUAUGUUGGCCGGGCGACGGUUGUCCCGGUUUAAGCGUGUAGGCUGGUUUUCCAGGCAAAUCCGGAAAACCAAGGCUGAGGCGUGAUGACGAGGCACUACGGUGCUGAAGCGACAAAUGCCCUGCUUCCAGGAAAAGCCUCUAAGCAUCAGGUAACAUCAAAUCGUACCCCAAACCGACACAGGUGGUCAGGUAGAGAAUACCAAGGCGCUUGAGAGAACUCGGGUGAAGGAACUAGGCAAAAUGGUGCCGUAACUUCGGGAGAAGGCACGCUGAUAUGUAGGUGAAGCGACUUGCUCGUGGAGCUGAAAUCAGUCGAAGAUACCAGCUGGCUGCAACUGUUUAUUAAAAACACAGCACUGUGCAAACACGAAAGUGGACGUAUACGGUGUGACGCCUGCCCGGUGCCGGAAGGUUAAUUGAUGGGGUUAGCGGUAACGCGAAGCUCUUGAUCGAAGCCCCGGUAAACGGCGGCCGUAACUAUAACGGUCCUAAGGUAGCGAAAUUCCUUGUCGGGUAAGUUCCGACCUGCACGAAUGGCGUAAUGAUGGCCAGGCUGUCUCCACCCGAGACUCAGUGAAAUUGAACUCGCUGUGAAGAUGCAGUGUACCCGCGGCAAGACGGAAAGACCCCGUGAACCUUUACUAUAGCUUGACACUGAACAUUGAGCCUUGAUGUGUAGGAUAGGUGGGAGGCUUUGAAGUGUGGACGCCAGUCUGCAUGGAGCCGACCUUGAAAUACCACCCUUUAAUGUUUGAUGUUCUAACGUUGGCCCGUAAUCCGGGUUGCGGACAGUGUCUGGUGGGUAGUUUGACUGGGGCGGUCUCCUCCUAAAGAGUAACGGAGGAGCACGAAGGUUGGCUAAUCCUGGUCGGACAUCAGGAGGUUAGUGCAAUGGCAUAAGCCAGCUUGACUGCGAGCGUGACGGCGCGAGCAGGUGCGAAAGCAGGUCAUAGUGAUCCGGUGGUUCUGAAUGGAAGGGCCAUCGCUCAACGGAUAAAAGGUACUCCGGGGAUAACAGGCUGAUACCGCCCAAGAGUUCAUAUCGACGGCGGUGUUUGGCACCUCGAUGUCGGCUCAUCACAUCCUGGGGCUGAAGUAGGUCCCAAGGGUAUGGCUGUUCGCCAUUUAAAGUGGUACGCGAGCUGGGUUUAGAACGUCGUGAGACAGUUCGGUCCCUAUCUGCCGUGGGCGCUGGAGAACUGAGGGGGGCUGCUCCUAGUACGAGAGGACCGGAGUGGACGCAUCACUGGUGUUCGGGUUGUCAUGCCAAUGGCACUGCCCGGUAGCUAAAUGCGGAAGAGAUAAGUGCUGAAAGCAUCUAAGCACGAAACUUGC
rnacentral:rRNA from 1 species